UUUACAACUAUCUCUGAGACAUGGGUUGGUCAUGGUGUAAGCUUGGCUUCUGUGGCAGUUAUUUUGUUAUCAACCUGACUAGGUUUAGAACCACCCAGAAGAUCGAAGGGUGUCUAUGAGGGCAUUUCAGUGAAGACUAACUCAGAGGAAUAACCCACUCUGCAUGUGACUGGCAUUAUCCCAUAGGCUGGGGACUUGGACAGAAUAAGAAAGAAACAGGAGAAGGUGGCCUGGCACAUGAAGCUUCUGAUCUGGAGGUUCCAAGAGGCCACGUGAUGGAGUGGGGGAAAGGAGCUGCCGCUGAUUUGAACUUUGAAAGAUGACUUUCCGUGAAGUUCUACUGACCACCCUUACUCUCUUGAGAGCUGAGCAACGUUUUGUCCUCCUCUUGCCUGCUUGUUUAAGAGCACCCUGGAUGACUCCAUGGCACUUCCCUUAUCCCUAAUCACAUUCACCUGAGGUCAACACAAGGAAUCGUGGCCUUUGCAAUAGCUUCAAAUUUGUCAAGGGCAAGUGAAUCAAUUUCUAAUUCCCAGUAUGUAUCUGUGUUUCCUUAGUGUGUGGUAAUUUUCAUAUGGC
rnacentral:lncRNA from 1 species